rnacentral:tRNA from 1 species
ACGUUCGUGGUACAAGGGAUGUGCAGCGGCCUUCUAAUCCGCUAUAUGUUGGUUCGAAUCCAACCGGACGUACCA